rnacentral:rRNA from 1 species
AACGAACGCUGGCGGCAGGCUUAACACAUGCAAGUCGAGCGCCCCGCAAGGGGAGCGGCAGACGGGUGAGUAACGCGUGGGAAUCUACCCUUCACUACGGAACAACUCCGGGAAACUGGAGCUAAUACCGUAUACGUCCUUCGGGAGAAAGAUUUAUCGGUGAUGGAUGAGCCCGCGUUGGAUUAGCUAGUUGGUGGGGUAAUGGCCUACCAAGGCGACGAUCCAUAGCUGGUCUGAGAGGAUGAUCAGCCACAUUGGGACUGAGACACGGCCCAAACUCCUACGGGAGGCAGCAGUGGGGAAUAUAGGACAAUGGGCGAAAGCCUGAUCCAGCCAUGCCGCGUGAGUGAUGAAGGCCCUAGGGUUGUAAAGCUCUUUCACCGGUGAAGAUAAUGACGGUAACCGGAGAAGAAGCCCCGGCUAACUUCGUGCCAGCCGCCGCCGUAAUAC